rnacentral:rRNA from 1 species
UACGAAGGGGGCUAGCGUUGUUCGGAAUUACUGGGCGUAAAGCGCACGUAGGCGGGUCUUUAAGUCAGGGGUGAAAUCCUGGAGCUCAACUCCAGAACUGCCUUUGAUACUGAAGAUCUUGAGUUCGGGAGAGGUGAGUGGAACUGCGAGUGUAGAGGUGAAAUUCGUAGAUAUUCGCAAGAACACCAGUGGCGAAGGCGGCUCACUGGCCCGAUACUGACGCUGAGGUGCGAAAGCGUGGGGAGCAAACAGG